rnacentral:rRNA from 1 species
UUCCGGUUGAUCCCGCCGGACCCGACUGCUAUCGGAUUGAGACUAAGCCAUGCGAGUCAACCCGCAAGGGUGGCGGACGGCUCAGUAACACGUAGUGAACCUGCCCUGGGGACGUGGACAACCAUGGGAAACUGUGGCUAAACCGCGAUAGGUCAUUGUUUCUGGAAUGGGCAAUGGCUCAAACCUACAUGGCCCCAGGAUGGCACUGCGGCCGAUCAGGUUGUUGGUGAGGUAAUGGCCCACCAAGCCUGUAACCGGUACGGGCUCUGAGAGGAGGAGCCUGGAGAUGGGCACUGAGACAAGGGCCCAGGCCCUACGGGGCGCAGCAGUCGCGCAAACUUUGCAAUACACGAAAGUGUGACAGGGCUAUCCCGAGUGCCGUCCGCUGAGGAUGGCUUUUACCCAGUCUAGAACGCUGGGGGAAUAAGGAGAGGGCAAGUCUGGUGUCAGCCGCCGCGGUAAUACCAGCUCUCCGAGUGGUGUGGAUGUUUAUUGGGCCUAAAGCAUCCGUAGCUGGCCAGGCCAGUCCCCUGUUAAACCCACCGAAUUAAUCGUUGGAUCGCGGGGGAUACUGCCCGGCUAGGGGACGAGAGAGGCAGACGGUAUUUUCGGGGUAGGGGUGAAAUCCUAUAAUCCCGAGAAGACCACCAGUGGCGAAGGCUGUCUGCUAGAACGCGCCCGACGGUGAGGGAUGAAAGCUGGGGGGAGCGAACCGGAUUAGAUACCCGGGUAGUCCCAGCUGUAAACGAUGCAGGCUAGGUGUUUGGACGGCCACGUGCCGUUCUAGUGCCGCAGGGAAGCUGUUAAGCCUGCCGCCUGGGGAGUACGGUCGCAAGAUUGAAACUUAAAGGAAUUGGCGGGGGAGCACCACAAGGGGUGAAGCUUGCGGUUUAAUUGGAUUCAACGCCGGG